rnacentral:rRNA from 1 species
AUUGAACGCUGGCGGCAGGCCUAACACAUGCCAGUCGAGCGAGCGACGGACGGUUGCGUAAUGUCUGGUAAACUGCCUGAUGUCGGGGGAUAACUACUGGAAACGGUAGCUAAUAACGCAUACCAUCCGCUGUUCCCAGAUGGGAUUAGCUGGUCGGUGUGGUAACGGCUCACCUAGGCGACGAUCCCUAGCUGGUCUGAGAGGAUGACCAGCCACACGGGAACUGAGACACGGUCCAGACUCCUACGGGAGGCAGCAGUGGGGAAUAUUCCACAAUGGGCGCAAGCCUGAUGCAGCAACGCCGCGGGUGUGAAGAAGGCUUUCGGGUUGUAAAGCACUGUCAGUAGGGAGGCGGUAUCCGAAGAAGAAGCACCGGCUAACUCCGUGCCAGCAGCCGCGGUAAUUC